GUGAGCACGGCACAGUCAGCAUCUCACCCGCCUUCUGCACCUCCGACUGCCCCUUCAUCAGCCCCCCCCCCCACCCCCCCACUGCACCAGAUGAGCCCAUGCAACUAGGCCAAGAUUGAGCACAGCAUGUUUCCAGCGCCUUCACACACGCCCACACGUCGUAAAGAUGGAAGGGCCAACCAAUGACGUCAGCACUUUUCUGUCCCAAGAUUGGUUUCGCACCUGUAAAACACACCUGUAGUGAUCUACACACGUUAAUACAUUUAAUAAUCAGCAUCUAGGUGAAUAUGAUGGAUUUUUAUUUACUUGUAAAUGUUUUAUG